UGAUAGUACUUUACCCCACUAUCCGCCAGGGAACUACGAGCACUAGCUUAAAACCCAAAGGACUUGGCGGUGCUUUAGACCCACCUAGAGGAGCCUGUUCUAGAACCGAUAACCCCCGUUAAACCUCACCCUCCCUUGCUUUUCCCGCCUAUAUACCGCCGCCGUCAGCUUACCCUAUGAAGGAUCUACAGUAAGCACAACUAGUACAGCCCAAAACGUCAGGUCGAGGUGUAGCACAUGAGAGGGGAAGAAAUGGGCUACAUUUCCUUCCCCAAGGAAAUCACGGACAAUGUGAUGAAACACACAUUAGAAGGAGGAUUUAGCAGUAAGCAGGAAGUAGAGUGUCCCGCUGAAACUGGCCCUGAAGCGCGCACACACCGCCCGUCACCCUCCAAAAAAA
rnacentral:rRNA from 1 species